rnacentral:lncRNA from 1 species
GCUUCAGGAGAGAGAGAACAUUUACAUCACAGAGGAAGUUUCUAACUGUUCAGAGUUUUUGAUAUUUAUCGAUGACUUCUCCAACACUCAUAAACAUCUAGGAUCAAUUGUUGGUACGCAUGUAUAGCUGGUUUGCACAUCAAGGAGAGAAGCUUUUCUAUAUGCAGCAAUUGUUUAUUUGUAUGCCUGUUGCUAUAGAUUAGUUAUGAUAAAUAACUCUGCAAGACAGCGUCAAGUUCGUUUAUCAAUAAAAUUAUUCAUUGUUUGUUUAUCGUAUAAUCGAGAUUAAAGUGAGUGAACUCUAUGAGAAAGUAGUUCCAUUCAAGUAAUGCAUGCAUUAAGAG